rnacentral:rRNA from 1 species
AACGAACGCUGGCGGCAGGCCUAACACAUGCAAGUCGAACGAGAAGCCACCUUCGGGUGGUGGAAAGUGGCAGACGGGUGAGUAACGCGUGGGAACGUGCCUUUCGGUUCGGGAUAACCCAGGGAAACUUGGGCUAAUACCGGAUACGCCCUCCGGGGGAAAGCUUCAUUGCCGAAAGAUCGGCCCGCGUCGGAUUAGCUAGUUGGUGGGGUAAUAGCCUACCAAGGCGACGAUCCGUAGCUGGUCUGAGAGGAUGACCAGCCACACUGGGACUGAGACACGGCCCAGACUCCUACGGGAGGCAGCAGUGGGGAAUAUUGGACAAUGGGCGAAAGCCUGAUCCAGCCAUGCCGCGUGGGUGAAGAAGGCCUUAGGGUUGUAAAUCCCUUUCAGCGGGGACGAUAAUGACGGUACCCGCAGAAGAAGUCCCGGCUAACUCCGUGCCAGCAGCCGCCGCGG